rnacentral:misc_RNA from 1 species
GAUGAAGAACGCAGCGAAAUGCGAUAAGUAAUGUGAAUUGCAGAAUUCAGUGAAUCAUCGAAUCUUUGAACGCACAUUGCGCCCGCCAGUAUUCUGGCGGGCAUGCCUGUUCGAGCGUCAUUUCAACCAUCAAGCCCCGGGCUUGUGUUGGGGACCUGCGGCUGCCGCAGGCCCUGAAAUGCAGUGGCGGGCUCGCUGUCACUCCGAGCGUAGUAGUAAUAUCUCGUUUAGGAAGUGUAGCGGGUUCUGGCCGUUAAACCCCCAAUUUUUUAAGGUUGACCUCGGAUCAGGUAGGAAUACCCGCUGAACUUAAGCAUAUCAAUAAGCGGAGGA